GCUAGGAUGAACGCUGACAGAAUGCUUAACACAUGCAAGUCUACUUGAAGCACUUUCGGGGUGUGGAUGGUGGCGGACGGGUGAGUAACGCGUAAAUAACUUGCCCCUUAGUCUGGGACAACUGUUGGAAACGACAGCUAAUACUAGAUAUUAUGACAUCUUGGCAUCAAGAAGUUAUGAAAGCUAUAUGCGCUGAGGGAGAGAUUUGCGUCCUAUUAGCUAGUUGGUGAGGUAAUGGCUCACCAAGGCGACGAUAGGUAGCCGGCCUGAGAGGGUGAACGGCCACAAGGGGACUGAGACACGGCCCUUACUCCUACGGGAGGCAGCAGUGGGGAAUAUUGGACAAUGGACCAAAAGUCUGAAUCCAGCAAUUCUGUGUGCUUGAUGAAGGCCUUCGGGUUGUAAAGAGCUUUAAGUAGGGAAGAAGAAAGUGACGGUACCUACAGAAUAAGCGACGGCUAAAUACGUGCCAGCCGCCGC
rnacentral:rRNA from 1 species